UAGGGAAUCUUCCACAAUGGACGCAAGUCUGAUGGAGCAACGCCGCGUGAGUGAAGAAGGUUUUCGGACCGUAAAGCUCUGUUGUUGGUGAAGAAGGAUAGAGGUAGUAACUGGCCUUUAUUUGACGGUAAUCAACCAGAAAGUCACGGCUAACUACGUGCCAGCAGCCGCGGUAAUACGUAGGUGGCAAGCGUUGUCCGGAUUUAUUGGGCGUAAAGCGAGCGCAGGCGGAAGAAUAAGUCUGAUGUGAAAGCCCUCGGCUUAACCGAGGAAUUGCAUCAGAAACUGUUUUUCUUGAGUGCAGAAGAGGAGAGUAGAACUCCAUGUGUAGCGGUGGAAUGCGUAGAUAUAUGGAAGAAUACCAGUGGCGAAGGCGGCUCUCUGGUCUGCAACUGACGCUGAGGCUCGAAAGCAUGGGUAGCGAACAGGAUUAGAUACCCUGGUAGUCCAUGCCGUA
rnacentral:rRNA from 1 species